UAGCUUUUGAGUGGAACAUUGUCGGGGGAGGUGAGUUGAGGGGAAUGAUAAUAAGGGAUUAGGCUUUGGGGGAUUUAGAACAGAUUUGAAUGAUGACAGGGGUCCAGAAUCAAUGUAAUGGGGAGGUGAGACAAGGAGGGAGUUUGCUAAUCACUACAGAAUGAUUUUUUUCAUUGUUUAGAGAGGUUUGGCCUCAAGAUAGAGUUCUCUUGGAGCCGUAGGCAGAUCAGGUGAAGUGACAAGUGCUAAGAACUGAAGGGAUGGUAUUAUUCCUUUUCCCCUAAGGCAGGAGGCCAGGCUGGAUCCUUAAUGGAAAGGCCUUUCUCCUCUUCCUUGGAAAGGAGUCUGGCUUAGACAGAAUGAUGUUUCUUCUCUUCCUAAGGAGACUGGUACUCUACUGAAUGGUGUUUUUCCUCUUCCCCUGGAGGCUGGAGACCAGUGAGGCCAGGCAGAAGACCUGAUGCACUGGAAUGACAUUCCAUACCCUAUCCUACCCUACCCUACCAUAAAGGAAUAAAAAUCUCCUUUGGAGAACAGUGGGAAGAGGAGACACUAGAAACAUCUAUCCUUACCUUCCUGUGAGACACAUCGAGACAAGC